GUACUCGCUUCGGCGGUACAUAUACUAAAAUUGAAACGACACAGAGCAGAUUAGCAUGGCCACUGCGCAAGGAUGACACGCAAUAUCGUGAAGCGUUCCACAUUUUC
rnacentral:snRNA from 1 species